CUAUGUUCGGUUACAGUGUCUACAGGGGCACUGUAGUUCGGCUUCAAAAACACGGCCAUGGCACGCGUCGCCGUACAGCUGUAUAGGUGUUUUGUGGUACAGCCAAGACAAGACUAGCCAGUCUAAACUUUUGCGCCGUGUGUGUGCUGUAUAUGAACAUGUGCCGGGUGUUUUGUUUUGACUCGGUUAAUAUUGAUGGUGCGUAUUUCGGUGGUUUUCAGUCAUGUCAAUCUUACGUUUCGUGCCCGUCAUAGUGUUCUUCUGCUAUAUAGCUCAGUUACAUUCUCAGUUCACUGGCAUCGUGUAGAAAAGACGGACAUAGUGACCUUGUGAAUGGUUUGGCAGCGUGGAAUGUGCCAGGACAUUUGGCCAGGGUAUGGACAGUGCGGACUUUGCUGUGGACGCUGCCUAAAGGCAGAAAUGGUAAGUCUGUUGCAGCCUCCAAAAGAACCUUGCUCAGAGAUGUGACUGGCGACAACUGAAGGUGAGCUCAUUCGAACGCUUUAUUUAGCUUGAGUGUGUGAGACAGACCUGCAUCACCUUCCGUGGACAUGCUCCGGGAUGAAGACUGCCCGUCACCUUCACCAUGAGGGUAUUUGUCUCAAAUGGCCGUCAGGCUGGUUCAACUUGGCAUGGAACACAUUUCUGCAAUGCCUGAUUCUUUUUCAUAUUAAAAAAAAAAUUAUGUUGGAGAGGGGGCUUCACAAUUACAUGUAGCAAAAUUUUGCAGGCUACAGGGCCGCCAGACAAUUAACAAAUUAUCUUGAGUGUGCCGUUGUGUUUGUGAUAUUGGACCUUCAAGUUUCAUAGUGUAGUACAGUGCAUGGAAUAUAGUUAUCAUGUGGUGUGUAAUCCACUGUGGUUACUUAGUAGCUUUGGUGUUGCACUGCUACAAUGUACUAGAAUACUUUCCCGUGGCACGACCGCGCCUCUCCACUUGACGCGCGCGGCGUCUCCUGCAGCGGCGGCGCUGCCAUCGACCACUCUUGAAAGCUCGCCUCUGCAGCGUACACGGCACACCAGAAUGGAAGGCUUGUUUGGUUACAUACCAGCGCUGUCUCAACAUAAUUCAACUGUUGGCUUGCCAUUUAUUUAAAUUAUUUUUUCAGGCAACUUUAUCAGCGUCGACUUUUAUUGAACUGACCCUACGAUUUCGGACUUUUCAUUGUAAACAGAACUAGAAGCAGACAAAAGCCAGUCGAUUAUUUUUCGCGACCUCAGCAUUUCGCUAACACGGGUAAGAAUAUUUCGAGAGUUCGAAAUUUCGCAAAGCAGAGGUUCUUUGUGGGACAAUUCUGCGAUUUUCAAGAAGAAUCGUUUACAGUAUUUGCCAUUUGGGACAGAUGCAAAAGAAUUGGUUGAUUUAAUUUGCACAUUAUUUCAUACACGUGCUCGCGGUAAGCAAGAUUUAAAACGCGAUGCCAACAAGAAAAAUAAAGUGCGAAACUGCGCGCAGUGCUUGACAAAUUUUAUUCCACAUGCUUUUCAUCUUAUUCAGAAUAACACAAGGAGAGCAAGCGCUUGCAAUACAUGGUUGCAAGGGCUGCACAAAUGUAACUAAUUAAGCCUGCUCAGCUUGAGGUGUUCCGCUGCCUUUUGCUUUGACAGCAUAUUGGACUUGUUCAAGCCCUUGACAAAAAAUGCAGCUGUGUGGUUACAUAAAAGCUUUAAGGGAGCAGCGCAAUGUAUCAUGUGCAAGAUGUCCAUCAAACUUUCACGGUGUAUUUUUCGUGCACUGAAACAACUUGUGAAAAUGUCCUCUAGCCUGGUUAUAAAACGAAACAGUUCAAGCGAGGGGUAGAGCAAGCCUCCUUGAUCAUUGUGCUGCAAAUGCUGCAGCAUGCAAGCGGCGCCUGUGCUCUGCUGGAAGUAAUAGGCUGUCGAUACAAACAGAGCACUUGCUUGGAAGCACACAUUUCUUAGCCACGUAGCCAGAGAUAUAAUAAAUUAGCCUAGAGUCACUUUGCUGCACAUGGUAAUCAUGCUACACUGCUUCAGCAUUGUCACAUGAGCCCGAAGGUCCCGCUUGCUCUUCUGUGCAGAGCUUCACUGUGUAAACCAGCUUUUCCUUUGCGGUUUCCUCCUUGUCCCUAGUAUCAAGAAGAGAACUGAUGACAUUGCUGUCCGCAUUCCCACCUGCAACACUGCGAGCCAAGUUAUAAAAAGACAGACAGUGAACUGUGAGCACGAACUGUUGCGGCGUCGGGUGAGAGUUGCAGCCAGAUGACAGCCUAACGAUCCCGAAGAAGUUCCCCGCUUUAUCCUGACUAAGCCGGGACUUCAACAUGUAGCUAUCGCCAGCUUGUUCGUGCAAAUAGCGAAGGAGCUCAAGAGUUCUUGUCAGGGUGACUCUUACGCCCUCUGCUGUUGACUCACUGAGGAAAUGCUUCUUAUGAGCACGCUGCUGCCAGAUGUCCAAGAAACUAAGCAUCUCCUUUAUUUUCUCAACACCUGCAGAGUGUCUCAGUGCUUCUGCUGGCUACCUUGCAGUCAUUACACCAAUCAGGGACUUCAUUCUCAUGAACCUUCCUGUGGCUUCAGUAUUACCGCAGCUCCUCUCCAGCUGAGUCUGGUACAGAAAAAAUGCUCGCAAAGGACCAUGGCCAAACAGUUGGAAAGCAUAACUUGACCGCAUUUUUUCAAAAUUGUUGGGGCUGAUAUGCACGCUUGUUAUUCCUGGCAUUGCCUUCAUUGUGACAGUAUUACUGUCGAGUUUGAAAGCCUCUAGAGCAAACUGCAUGGAAACAGAA